AGAGAACGCUGGCGGUAGGCCUAACACAUGCAAGUCGAACGGCAGCACAGUAAGAGCUUGCUCUUACGGGUGGCGAGUGGCGGACGGGUGAGGAAUACAUCGGAAUCUACUUUUUCGUGGGGGAUAACGUAGGGAAACUUACGCUAAUACCGCAUACGACCUACGGGUGAAAGCAGGGGAUCUUCGGACCUUGCGCGAUUGAAUGAGCCGAUGUCGGAUUAGCUAGUUGGCGGGGUAAAGGCCCACCAAGGCGACGAUCCGUAGCUGGUCUGAGAGGAUGAUCAGCCACACUGGAACUGAGACACGGUCCAGACUCCUACGGGAGGCAGCAGUGGGGAAUAUUGGACAAUGGGCGCAAGCCUGAUCCAGCCAUACCGCGUGGGUGAAGAAGACCUUCGGGUUGUAAAGCCCUUUUGUUGGGAAAGAAAAGCAGCAGGUUAAUACCCCGCUGUUCUGACGGUACCCAAAGAAUAAGCACCGGCUAACUUCGUG
rnacentral:rRNA from 1 species